UACGAAGGGGGCGAGCGUUUGUUCGGAUUUACUGGGCGUAAAGGGCGCGCAGGCGGCUCAUUUUGUCAGGCGUGAAAGCCCCGGGCUUAACCUGGGAACUGCGUUUGAUACGGAUGGGCUAGAGUUCGGGAGAGGAGAGUGGAAUUCCCAGUGUAGAGGUGAAAUUCGUAGAUAUUGGGAAGAACACCGGUGGCGAAGGCGGCUCUCUGGACCGAGACUGACGCUGAGGCGGCGAAAAGCGUGGGGAGCCAAACAGGG
rnacentral:rRNA from 1 species